GAUGAAGAACGCAGCGAAAUGCGAUAAGUAAUGUGAAUUGCAGAAUUCAGUGAAUCAUCGAAUCUUUGAACGCACAUUGCGCCCGCCAGUAUUCUGGCGGGCAUGCCUGUUCGAGCGUCAUUUCAACCAUCAAGCCCUAGGCUUGUGUUGGGGACCUGCGGCUGCCGCAGGCCCUGAAAACCAGUGGCGGGCUCGCUGUCACACCGGGCGUAGUAGAUUUUAUCUCGCUCAGGGCGUGCUGCGGGUUCCGGCCGUUAAAAAGCCUUUUUUACCCUAGGUUGACCUCGGAUCAGGUAGGAAGACCCGCUGAACUUAAGCAUAUCAAUAAGCGGAGGA
rnacentral:misc_RNA from 1 species